GAUGAACGCUGGCGGCGUGCCUAAUACAUGCAAGUCGAGCGAACAGACGAGGAGCUUGCUCCUCUGACGUUAGCGGCGGACGGGUGAGUCACACGUGGAUAACCUACCUAUAAGACUGGGAUAACUUCGGGAAACCGGAGCUAAUACCGGAUAAUAUAUUGAACCGCAUGGUUCAAUAGUGAAAGACGGUUUUGCUGUCACUUAUAGACGGCUCCGCGCCGCAUUAGUUAGUUGGGAAGGUAACGGCUUACCAAGGCAACGAUGCGUAGCCGACCUGAGAGGGUGAUCGGCCACACUGGAUCUGAGGAAGAGUCCAGACUCCGACGCGGAGACGCAGUAGGGAAUCUUCCGCGAUGCAGGAGAGCCUAACGGAGCAAAGCCGCGGGAAUGAUGAUGGACUUCUGAUCGUAAAACUCUGUUAUUAGGGGAGAACAAAUGUGUAAGUAACUAUGCACAUCUUGACAGUACCUGGUCAGAAAGCCACGGCUAACUACGUG
rnacentral:rRNA from 1 species